AUCUUGGAAAUACGUUUUCAUUUCUCUUGGGUGUAUGCCUAGGAGUGGAACUGCUGGAUUGUAUGGUAGCUCUAUGUACAACCUUUUGAGGAACUACAAGACUGUUUUCCACAGUGGCUGCACCAUUUACAUUCCCAUGAAGAGUGUUUGAGGUUAAUGAACACCUUGGUACAUGCUUUUGGUGGAAACAAGCAGUCAUCUGUGUUGAGAUCUACCCAUGAUUUGAAUUGCUGGGUUCUUCUGUAUGUUGAGCUUUAGUUAAAUGCUACCAGUUUUCCAAAAUGGAUAAACCAGUAGUACCACCAGCUGUGUAUGAGAGUUCUAGUUCCAUUAUCCUCAUGAAUGCUUACUGUUGCCAGCAUGCUUAAUAUUAGCCUCCUGCUGAAUGCUGCCUCCUUCCUAAUCAAGCCCCCACCCU